rnacentral:rRNA from 1 species
AGUGAACGCUGGCGGUAGGCCUAACACAUGCAAGUCGAACGGCAGCACAGGAGAGCUUGCUCUCUGGGUGGCGAGUGGCGGACGGGUGAGGAAUACAUCGGAAUCUACUUUUUCGUGGGGGAUAACGUAGGGAAACUUACGCUAAUACCGCAUACGACCUACGGGUGAAAGCAGGGGAUCUUCGGGCCUUGCGCGAUUGAAUGAGCCGAUGUCGGAUUAGCUAGUUGGCGGGGUAAAGGCCCACCAAGGCGACGAUCCGUAGCUGGUCUGAGAGGAUGAUCAGCAAAACUGGAACUGAGAAACGGUCCAGACUCCUACGGGAGGCAGCAGUGGGGAAUAUUGGACAAUGGGCGCAAGCCUGAUCCAGCCAUACCGCGUGGGUGAAGAAGGCCUUCGGGUUGUAAAGCCCUUUUGUUGGGAAAGAAAUCCAGCUGGUUAAUACCCGGUUGGGAUGACGGUACCCAAAGAAUAAGCACCGGCUAACUUCGUGCCAGCAGCCGCCGUAA